rnacentral:rRNA from 1 species
UAGCAUAUCAAUAAGCGGAGGAAAGGAAACUAACAAGGAUUCCCCUAGUAACUGCGAGUGAAGCGGGAAAAGCUCAAAUUUAAAAUCUGGCGGUCUCUGGCCGUCCGAGUUGUAAUCUAGAGAAGUAAUGCCCGUGCUGGACCGUGUAUAAGUCUCCUGGGAUGGGGCGUCAUAGAGGGUGAGAAUCCCGUCUUUGACACGGACUACCAGUGCAUUGUGGUAUGCUCUCAAAGAGUCGAGUUGUUUGGGAAUGCAGCUCAAAAUGGGUGGUAAAUUCCAUCUAAAGCUAAAUAUUGGCGAGAGACCGAUAGCGAACAAGUACCGUGAGGGAAAGAUGAAAAGAACUUUGGAAAGAGAGUUAAACAGUACGUGAAAUUGCUGAAAGGGAAACGCUUGAAGUCAGUCGCGUUGGCCAGGGAUCAGCCUUGCAUUUGCAUGGUGUACUUUCUGGUUGACGGGUCAGCAUCAAUUUUGACCGCUGGAAAAGGUCCUGGGGAAUGUGGCAGCUCCGGCUGUGUUAUAGCCCCUGGUCGCAUACAGUGGUUGGGAUUGAGGAACUCAGCACGCCGCAAGGCCGGGUUUCGACCACGUCCGUGCUUAGGAUGCUGGCAUAAUGGCUUUUAGCGACCCCGUCCUUGAAACACGGACCAAGGAGUCUAACAUGCCUGCGAGUG